rnacentral:misc_RNA from 1 species
AGAUACACUAAUAAAUAGCUCAGAUACAUUAAAAACUAGCUCGGAUACAGUUAAUACUUGUUCGAAUACAUUAAUAUGCAGCUCGGACACAUUAAAGAAAUAAGAAAUUUAUGAAAUUUUUAAAAGUAGAUAACGAUUAAUGAAAAUAAGUGAAACAAAAUGUGUAUUUCUGUAAUUUAAUAAUAUCUCUGUUUGACGGAAAUGGGCCUAGAGAAUUAGGGCCUUCAUCAACUCCUCCUGGACUUCAAUGAUUGGUCUGCCAAAAGCCCAAUAUUGAUCAAGUUCACAAGAGUCGCUGAGACUCAUUGGGCCGACAUGAUUUGAAGUAAUUUGGUCCAAUACAUACAAAGUAUCAAACUUUUAAGUUUUAAGUACAUUUAACAGUGAAAAAACUACUUAAUUAUACAAACAAUAUUACCAUAAAUGCUAAUCCAUAAUAUAAUCUAAUAUAAUUACAUGUAUUCUCACGAAUUAAUAAUUUCAUAUCAAAUUUCUAGUUAGCAGGAAGUGAUUCCAUCUCAAGUAAGAAAUUGAGGCCCAAGACAAAGUAUUGAUCCAACAAGUAGAAGACAUGUGGAUGACCAUGUGUUUGGCUAAUUUGGGAAGCUACGGCUAAUGGUAAAAAUUUAUUCGUGCUCGAUAUUCGUAUUAUAUUAAUUGUAAAUAUCAAAUCGAUAUUUGUUUUCUCCUUAUUUAUUCAUCAAUUAUAUUUAAAUUUUUUGGUUUAAUAUAGCUAUAAUAUUUACCUAGCUUAUCCUUUUUGCAAUUAAAACUAUAUAGUUGAUUGAUUUUAGUAAUUCAAGUCCAGCAAAGACAAACCAUGUUCAUGGCCAUCUUUAUUUGGCACAAUGUGAGAUGGCCAUUUCCUUUAGACUCAAUAAUUAACCUUAAUUAUUCCCUAUACCUAAUAAUAUUAAGAAAAUCCUAUAGACUAAAGUUUUUCUUUUAUGAUGAUUAUAAGUAAAAUAUUGUCAUUAUGCUUAUGUGCAAUGAACAAUUCAGACAAAUAUAAUGUCUUUAAUUCCUAGUUCAAACCAAAAGACAUCUUAAUCAUAAUGAAACUUUCACGUUUGGUGUGGGAAAAGAGAAAAAAUUACUUACAUACUGUCUCAUGUCACUCAUACUUUAACUUUCGCUUUUAAUGCAUUUUUCUAUGAAAGUUCUUGUUAGUCAUAAUUUUGUGAUUUCUAAUUUAAAAACUUUUUCUCUCAAAUAUAAUAAAAUUGAAACUCAAAGUUUGAACAAGUUGACGAAUAUUAAUAUAAUAUAAUAUACUUUCACUCUUUUUUUUUUUUCACUUUCUAACGUGAAAAAGAAGUUAGAGUUGAG